AGCAGCCGCCGCGGGAAUACGAAGGGUGCAAGCGUUAAUCGGAAUUACUGGGCGUAAAGCGUGCGUAGGCGGUUUGUUAAGUCUGUUGUGAAAUCCCCGGGCUCAACCUGGGAAUGGCAAUGGAUACUGGCAAGCUAGAGUGUGUCAGAGGAUGGUGGAAUUCCCGGUGUAGCGGUGAAAUGCGUAGAGAUCGGGAGGAACAUCAGUGGCGAAGGCGGCCAUCUGGGACAACACUGACGCUGAGGCACGAAAGCGUGGGGAGCAAACAGGAUUAGAUACCCGAGUAGUCCCUGUCUCUUAUAC
rnacentral:rRNA from 1 species